rnacentral:rRNA from 1 species
UCGUCACACUAUCAUUAACUGAAUCCAUAGGUUAAUGAGGCGAACCGGGGGAACUGAAACAUCUAAGUACCCCGAGGAAAAGAAAUCAACCGAGAUUCCCCCAGUAGCGGCGAGCGAACGGGGAGGAGCCCAGAGCCUGAAUCAGCAUGUGUGUUAGUGGAAGCGUCUGGAAAGGCGCGCGAUACAGGGUGACAGCCCCGUACACAAAAGCGCAUGUGCUGUGAGCUCGAUGAGUAGGGCGGGACACGUGGUAUCCUGUCUGAAUAUGGGGGGACCAUCCUCCAAGGCUAAAUACUCCUGACUGACCGAUAGUGAACCAGUACCGUGAGGGAAAGGCGAAAAGAACCCCGGCGAGGGGAGUGAAAAAGAACCUGAAACCGUGUACGUACAAGCAGUGGGAGCACAGGUUUACCUGUGUGACUGCGUACCUUUUGUAUAAUGGGUCAGCGACUUAUAUUCUGUAGCAAGGUUAACCGAAUAGGGGAGCCGGAGGGAAACCGAGUCUUAAUUGGGCGUUAAGUUGCAGGGUAUAGACCCGAAACCCGGUGAUCUAGCCAUGGGCAGGUUGAAGGUUGGGUAACACUAACUGGAGGACCGAACCGACUAAUGUUGAAAAAUUAGCGGAUGACCUGUGGCUGGGGGUGAAAGGCCAAUCAAACCGGGAGAUAGCUGGUUCUCCCCGAAAGCUAUUUAGGUAGCGCCUCGUGAAUUCAUCUCCGGGGGUAGAGCACUGUUUCGGCUAGGGGGCCAUCCCGGCUUACCAACCCGAUGCAAACUGCGAAUACCGGAGAAUGUUAUCACGGGAGACACACGGCGGGUGCUAACGUCCGUCGUGAAGAGGGAAACAACCCAGACCGCCAGCUAAGGUCCCAAAGUCAUGGUUAAGUGGGAAACGAUGUGGGAAGGCCCAGACAGCCAGGAUGUUGGCUUAGAAGCAGCCAUCAUUUAAAGAAAGCGUAAUAGCUCACUGGUCGAGUCGGCCUGCGCGGAAGAUGUAACGGGGCUAAACCAUGCACCGAAGCUGCGGCAGCGACACUGUGUGUUGUUGGGUAGGGGAGCGUUCUGUAAGCCUGUGAAGGUGUGUCGUGAGGCAUGCUGGAGGUAUCAGAAGUGCGAAUGCUGACAUAAGUAACGAUAAAGCGGGUGAAAAGCCCGCUCGCCGGAAGACCAAGGGUUCCUGUCCAACGUUAAUCGGGGCAGGGUGAGUCGACCCCUAAGGCGAGGCCGAAAGGCGUAGUCGAUGGGAAACGGGUUAAUAUUCCCGUACUUGGUGUUACUGCGAAGGGGGGACGGAGAAGGCUAUGUUGGCCGGGCGACGGUUGUCCCGGUUUAAGCGUGUAGGUGUGUGUUCCAGGUAAAUCCGGUUCACUUUAACACUGAGGCGUGACGACGAGGCACUACGGUGCUGAAGCAACAAAUGCCCUGCUUCCAGGAAAAGCCUCUAAGCAUCAGGUAACAUCAAAUCGUACCCCAAACCGACACAGGUGGUCAGGUAGAGAAUACCAAGGCGCUUGAGAGAACUCGGGUGAAGGAACUAGGCAAAAUGGUGCCGUAACUUCGGGAGAAGGCACGCUGACACGUAGGUGAAGUGAUUUACUCAUGGAGCUGAAGUCAGUCGAAGAUACCAGCUGGCUGCAACUGUUUAUUAAAAACACAGCACUGUGCAAACACGAAAGUGGACGUAUACGGUGUGACGCCUGCCCGGUGCCGGAAGGUUAAUUGAUGGGGUCAGCGCAAGCGAAGCUCCUGAUCGAAGCCCCGGUAAACGGCGGCCGUAACUAUAACGGUCCUAAGGUAGCGAAAUUCCUUGUCGGGUAAGUUCCGACCUGCACGAAUGGCGUAAUGAUGGCCAGGCUGUCUCCACCCGAGACUCAGUGAAAUUGAACUCGCUGUGAAGAUGCAGUGUACCCGCGGCAAGACGGAAAGACCCCGUGAACCUUUACUAUAGCUUGACACUGAACAUUGAGCCUUGAUGUGUAGGAUAGGUGGGAGGCUUUGAAGUGUGGACGCCAGUCUGCAUGGAGCCGACCUUGAAAUACCACCCUUUAAUGUUUGAUGUUCUAACGUGGACCCGUUACCCGGGUUGCGGACAGUGUCUGGUGGGUAGUUUGACUGGGGCGGUCUCCUCCUAAAGAGUAACGGAGGAGCACGAAGGUUGGCUAAUCCUGGUCGGACAUCAGGAGGUUAGUGCAAUGGCAUAAGCCAGCUUGACUGCGAGCGUGACGGCGCGAGCAGGUGCGAAAGCAGGUCAUAGUGAUCCGGUGGUUCUGAAUGGAAGGGCCAUCGCUCAACGGAUAAAAGGUACUCCGGGGAUAACAGGCUGAUACCGCCCAAGAGUUCAUAUCGACGGCGGUGUUUGGCACCUCGAUGUCGGCUCAUCACAUCCUGGGGCUGAAGUAGGUCCCAAGGGUAUGGCUGUUCGCCAUUUAAAGUGGUACGCGAGCUGGGUUUAGAACGUCGUGAGACAGUUCGGUCCCUAUCUGCCGUGGGCGCUGGAGAACUGAGGGGGGCUGCUCCUAGUACGAGAGGACCGGAGUGGACGCAUCACUGGUGUUCGGGUUGUCAUGCCAAUGGCACUGCCCGGUAGCUAAAUGCGGAAGAGAUAAGUGCUGAAAGCAUCUAAGCACGAAACUUGCCCCGAGAUGAGUUCUCCCUGAGACUUAGAGUCUCCUGAAGGAACGUU